rnacentral:rRNA from 1 species
CCUACGGGAGGCAGCAGUGGGGAAUAUUGGGCAAUGGGCGCAAGCCUGACCCAGCAACGCCGCGUGAAGGAAGAAGGCUUUCGGGUUGUAAACUUCUUUUCUCAGGGACGAAGCACGUGACGGUACCUGAGGCAUAAGCCACGGCUAACUACGUGCCAGCAGCCGCGGUAAUACGUAGGUGGCAAGCGUUAUCCGGAUUUACUGGGUGUAAAGGGCGUGUAGGCGGGAAAGCAAGUCCGCUGUGAAAACCAUGGGCUCAACCUUUGGCCUGCAUUUGAAACUGUUUUUCUUGAGUACUGGAGAGGGAGACGGAAUUCCUAGGGGAGCGGGGAAAUGCG